rnacentral:rRNA from 1 species
AUUGAACGCUGGCGGCAGGCCUAACACAUGCAAGUCGAACGAGUGGCGGACGGGUGAGUAAUGUCUGGGAAACUGCCCGAUGGAGGGGGAUAACUACUGGAAACGGUAGCUAAUACCGCAUACCAUCGGAUGUGCCCAGAUGGGAUUAGCUAGGCGGUGGGGUAACGGCUCACCUGGGCGACGAUCCAUAGCUGGUCUGAGAGGAGGACCAUCCACACUGGAACUGAGAAACGGUCCAGACUCCUACGGGAGGCAGCAGUGGGUAAGAUUGCACAAUGUGCGCAAGCCUGAUGCAGCCAUGCCGCGUGUAUUAAGAAGGCCUUCGGGUUGUAAAUUACUUUCAGCGAGGAGGCGUUACUCGCAGAAGAAGCAUCGGCUAACUCCGUGCCAGCCGCCGCGGUAAUAC